UACGAAGGGGGCUAGCGUUGUUCGGAAUUACUGGGCGUAAAGGGCGCGUAGGCGGCUUGACACGUCAGAUGUGAAAGUCCUGGGCUUAACCUGGGGAUUGCAUUUGAUACGGUGAGGCUAGAGGCCGAGAGAGGGUAGUGGAAUUGUGUGUGUAGAGGUGAAAUUCGUAGAUAUACACAAGAACACCGGUGGCGAAGGCGGCUACCUGGCUCGGAACUGACGCUAAGGCGCGAAAGCGUGGGGAGCAAACAGG
rnacentral:rRNA from 1 species